CUACGGGUCGCUGCAGUGGGGAAUAUUGGACAAUGGGGGAAACCCUGAUCCAGCAAUGCCGCGUGUGUGAAGAAGGCCUGCGGGUUGUUAAGCACUUUCGGUUGGGAGGACUGCUUCUAGCACUAAUAUUGUUGGAAGUUGACGUUACCUUCAGAAGAAGCACCGGCUAACUCCGUGCCAGCAGCCGCGGUAAUACGGAGGGUGCAGGCGUUAAUCGGAAUUACUGGGCGUAAAGCGCGCGUAGGCGGCUAGAUCAGUCGGGUGUGAAAGCCCCGGGCUUAACCUGGGAACUGCAUCCGAUACUGUCUAGCUUGAGUACAGGAGAGGAGAGUGGAAUUCCACAUGUAGCGGUGAAAUGCGUAGAUAUGUGGAGGAACACCAAUGGCGAAGGCAGCUCUCUGGCCUGAUACUGACGCUGAGGUGCGAAAGCGUGGGGAGCAAACAGGAUUAGAUACCCGGGUAGUC
rnacentral:rRNA from 1 species